rnacentral:sRNA from 1 species
AGCGCUCAGCUCUUACCACUGAGCUAUUAGUGAUACAUUUAAAGUUCUCUCAGUCAUCUUUCGAUACCCUUCGUAUAGCUCCUGCGACAGCUCCAAUAGAUAGUCCAUUUAAUAGCUUUUGUUAUCAGCGCAUAUAAACUUUGUAACAAUUUAAAAUAUAUAGAGGUAUCUAUGUCUAACAAAAUGACUGGUUCUGUAAAAUGGUUCAACGAAACUAAAGGUUUCGGUUUCAUCACUCAAGACAACGGUGGCAAUGAUGUAUUCGUACACUUCGCUUCUAUCGUUUCUGAAGGUUUCAAAACUCUGGCUGAAGGCCAGCGUGUAAGCUUUGACGUUGAACAGGGCAAAAAAGGCCCUCAAGCGGCAAACGUAGUAGCACUAUAAGUGCCAGUAGCGUGGCGCCUGUCGCCACGCUAUCU